CGCGGCUGGGAUUCGAACCCAUGAGCUGGGCUUUAAGCAAAACCGGCCCAAACCAGCUGAGCUACACGGACUUUGUCAACUUAAUAUGGAGAGAAUUGGAUAUAAAGUAUAGUUAUAAUGGAAACCCUAGAUUUAAAGGAAAGCUUAAGUGUUUUACCAGAACCCGAAACCUUUUCCGGAAAACCUAACUUUCCUCUCUUCCUCUCGCGACGGCGAUCCCUCUCGGGCGAAAACGAAGCUAAGGCUUCAUCUUCGGCGGCCGGCGAGCACUUCUCACCGUGGGUUCUUCACUGAUUCGAAGUCUCCUUGUCGAAGAGAGCUCGUGGACAGGAGGAAGGGUUCAAAUCUCAAGUUUGGAGUCACUGCCGAAAACCCUAGAAGCCUCUUCCUCUCCUUCGGUUGUAAGUGCAAGCAAACCGUGGGCUUCCUUGUGCCGAACUUGAUUCAUGCUAGGGCUGGAUUGUAUUCCAUGCUGUGCCGAAUUGGGAGAAUGGAUUUGGGUUUUAAGAUGGCUGUUCGGACCCCUGAAUUGUGCCACAGUGACUAUGCCAAACCUCCUCUAAAGCAUUAGGAUGCUGAAUUUUUAUGUCAAGG